rnacentral:rRNA from 4 species
AAACUUGAGUGCAGAAGAGGACAGUGGAACUCCAUGUGUAGCGGUGAAAUGCGUAGAUAUAUGGAAGAACACCAGUGGCGAAGGCGGCUGUCUGGUCUGUAACUGACGCUGAGGCUCGAAAGCAUGGGUAGCGAACAGGAUUAGAUACCCUGGUAGUCCAUGCCGUAAACGAUGAAUGCUAGGUGUUGGAGGGUUUCCGCCCUUCAGUGCCGCAGCUAACGCAUUAAGCAUUCCGCCUGGGGAGUACGACCGCAAGGUUGAAACUCAAAGGAAUUGACGGGGGCCCGCACAAGCGGUGGAGCAUGUGGUUUAAUUCGAAGCAACGCGAAGAACCUUACCAGGUCUUGACAUCUUUUGAUCACCUGAGAGAUCAGGUUUCCCCUUCGGGGGCAAAAUGACAGGUGGUGCAUGGUUGUCGUCAGCUCGUGUCGUGAGAUGUUGGGUUAAGUCCCGCAACGAGCGCAACCCUUAUGACUAGUUGCCAGCAUUUAGUUGGGCACUCUAGUAAGACUGCCGGUGACAAACCGGAGGAAGGUGGGGAUGACGUCAAAUCAUCAUGCCCCUUAUGACCUGGGCUACACACGUGCUACAAUGGAUGGUACAACGAGUUGCGAGACCGCGAGGUCAAGCUAAUCUCUUAAAGCCAUUCUCAGUUCGGACUGUAGGCUGCAACUCGCCUACACGAAGUCGGAAUCGCUAGUAAUCGCGGAUCAGCACGCCGCGGUGAAUACGUUCCCGGGCCUUGUACACACCGCCCGUCACACCAUGAGAGUUU